rnacentral:rRNA from 1 species
AAGCCCAGAGGAUUCAACCGGCUAGAGUGUAGUGAACGCGCCUGCGCAUCRAACGGCCAGAGUAAGAUUGGGUAGUCUACUGGAAGACAGUAGGCCCUGCCGCAAGGUGGGGAUGUGUGCACCGGGCGGAGGCCGGAACACGCUAUCCGUCUAUGGGCUGCCUAGCCGGUGCACUUUCUCUGUGGUGAACACCACGACCGGUGGAACUGCCAGUCUGUCAUAGUCAAGUCGUAGUGGGCGGGCUUUCGGGUCUGCCUGCUGUGAUCACGGGCGUACUUGGUAAACGGCGUUAGUGCAUCUUUACGGUGUGCCGACGUGUUAUCGGCUACUAGUCGCUUUAUCGGGCCUGCUUAAUGCACGUUAUAGCCGUGUGUUUUGUGGUCUGGUGGACUUUGAUGGUAAUAAUAACUGUGCAGGGCACCGGAGUUUUCGGCCUCAAAUGCAGUCUGCAUGCGUGCUAUGAAUGUGUUUGUGSGUGUCGUCGCGAGCUGGCUGUUGUUGGAUUUGAUUGUCGUGUUGCCUGCAAAAAG